rnacentral:rRNA from 1 species
GACGAACGCUGGCGGCGUGCCUAAUACAUGCAAGUUGAGCGCUGAAGGUUGGUACUUGUACCAACUGGAUGAGCAGCGCACGGGUGAGUAACGCGUGGGGAAUCUGCCUUUGAGCGGGGGACAACAUUUGGAAACGAAUGCUAAUACCGCAUAAAAACUUUAAACACAAGUUUUAAGUUUGAAAGAUGCAAUUGCAUCACUCAAAGAUGAUCCCGCGUUGUAUUAGCUAGUUGGUGAGGUAAAGGCUCACCAAGGCGAUGAUACAUAGCCGACCUGAGAGGGUGAUCGGCCACAUUGGGACUGAGACACGGCCCAAACGCCUACGGGAGGCAGCAGUAGGGAAUCGUCGGCAAGGGACGAAAGUCUGACCGAGCAACGCCGCGUGAGUGAAGAAGGUUUUCGGAUCGUAAAACUCUGUUGGUAGAGAAGAACGUUGGUGAGAGUGGAAAGCUCAGCAAGUGACGGUAACUACCCAGAAAGGGACGGCUAACUACGUG